rnacentral:rRNA from 1 species
GAUGAACGCUGGCGGCGUGCCUAAUACAUGCAAGUCGAGCGAACAGACGAGGAGCUUGCUCCUCUGACGUUAGCGGCGGACGGGUGAGUAACACGUGGAUAACCUCCCUAUAAGACUGGGAUAACUUCGGGAAACCGGAGCUAAUACCGGAUAAUAUAUUUAACCGCAUGGUUCAAUAGUGAAAGACGGUUUUGCUGUCACUUAUCGAUGGAUCCGCGCCGCAUUAGCUAGUUGGUAAGGUAACGGCUUACCAAGGCAACGAUGCGUAGCCGACCUGAGAGGGUGAUGGGCCACACUGGAACUGAAACACGGUCCAGACUCCUACGGGAGGCAGCAGUAGGGAAUCUUCCGCAAUGGGCGAAAGCCUGACGGAGCAACGCCGCGUGAGUGAUGAAGGUCUUCGGAUCGUAAAACUCUGUUAUUAGGGAAGAACAAAUGUGUAAGUAACUAUGCACGUCUUGACGGUACCUAAUCAGAAAGCCACGGCUAACUACGUG